rnacentral:rRNA from 1 species
UGGGGAAUUUUGCACAAUGGGGGAAACCCUGAUGCAGCGACGCCGCGUGAUUUAGAAGGCCUUCGGGUUGUAAAAAUCUUUUCUAUGGGAAGAAAAUGACAGUACCAUAGGAAUAAGGACCGGCUAAUUACGUGCCAGCAGCCGCGGUAAUACGUAAGGUCCGAGCGUUGUCCGGAAUCAUUGGGCGUAAAGGGUACGUAGGCGGGUAAGCAAGUUAGAAGUGAAAUCCUAUAGCUCAACUAUAGUAAGCUUUUAAAACUGCUCAUCUUGAGGUAUGGAAUGGAAAGUGGAAUUCCUAGUGUAGCGGUGAAAUGCGCAGAUAUUAGGAGGAAUACCGGUGGCGAAGGCGACUUUCUGGCCAUAACCUGACGCUGAGGUACGAAAGCGUGGGUAGCAAACAGG